AGAGACAGCCUGGAACCCCGCGAGGCCCCCAGGUCCAGGGAGCAGCCAUGGCGUUCAGUCCCUCGGUCCUACCCUGACCUCGAAGCCCGCGCCAGGCACUCGCGGGCCCUCUCACUUCCUCUUCUUCCAGGGCGGCAGGAUCCUCUCCUGCGCCUUGACGUGGCGCUUCUCCUUGGCCUCCUUGUAACUCCACUUGAGGGAGCCGCAGGUGACCGCUGUGCUUGGUGCUGCCCUUCCGCGCCGGCCGCGGGUACUAGAAGGUGGGCGCGGGCGCCUUGCUGUCGCCGACCCCGGGCACAACCACGCCAGGCCACACGCUCCUCUGUUGCAUGCGCUGCAGGAGCAGGAAGCUGGCCUUCCGCGAGGCGGGCGCGGCGGGGCACCAGGACCCCGGCAGCACUGCAGGUCGGAGUCCUGCUCUCAGGGAGCCGUCCCACGAGCCCACGGCCGCCCGGACGAGCCUCCUACGCUGUCCUUGGCCCUCCCCUUCGCUCGCCUCCUGCACCUGCAUCCCCUCUCCCCGCGCCGCCAGGAUUUCCUGCACCGCCAGCCGUCUCUUCCCCACGCACGGAGUGCCUCGAGCACACGGCUCUGCACGCCAUGGCCACUGCAGUGGGCUGUGCUAGAGGCUCGUGGUCAUCCCGACCAUGUGAUCCAGGGCGCCCCGGUCCUCCGGACCCCGCACGGAGCGCGGCGUCAGCGCGGACACCUCCAGUACGUGAGCAUCUGGAGGCGACCUGGGAGACUCUAGGGCUUCUGCCCCUCUGGCGGAGGCAGCCAGCUGGUAAUUUCCCUGAACCGCUCCCAGUAGGGGCGCUCCAGGAGCCACUGCAUGAGGCGGACGUGGGCGCCUCACCCCGCAGCAUCCCAUGGCGGGGCCCGCGCGGGACUCCGCCCCGCCAGCUAAGGGGUUGGAUGCGAUCCGUUCGACCCUCCCUGGCCCCUUUCAUCAGGGCGGUGAACGCGAACGCGUCUUUCCUUUCCAGGUCAAGACCCCGGACAUAA
rnacentral:lncRNA from 1 species